UACGUAGGGUGCAAGCGUUGUCCGGAAUUAUUGGGCGUAAAGAGCUCGUAGGCGGCUUGUCGCGUCGGCUGUGAAAACCCGGGGCUCAACCCCGGGCCUGCAGUCGAUACGGGCAGGCUAGAGUCCGGCAGGGGAGACUGGAAUUCCUGGUGUGGCGGUGAAAUGCGCAGAUAUCAGGAGGAACACCGGUGGCGAAGGCGGGUCUCUGGGCCGGAACUGACGCUGAGGAGCGAAAGCGUGGGGAGCGAACAGG
rnacentral:rRNA from 1 species